rnacentral:tRNA from 1 species
ACCCGACUGGCUCAUUUAGUAGAGUGUGUGACUCUUGAUCUUGGGGUUGUGAGUUCAAGCCCCACAUUGGGUG